GGGUGAGUAACGCGUAUGCAACCUGCCCUUCACAGGGGGGUAACCGGGAGAAAUUCCGACUAAUACCGCAUACGUCCUCCGGGGGCAUCCCCGGAGGAUGAAAGAUUUAUCGGUGAAGGAUGGGCAUGCGUGAUAUUAGGUAGUUGGCGGGGCAACGGCCCACCAAGCCCACGAUAUCUAGGGGUUCUGAGAGGAAGGUCCCCCACAUUGGUACUGAGACACGGACCAAACUCCUACGGGAGGCAGCAGUGAGGAAUAUUGGUCAAUGGACGAGAGUCUGAACCAGCCAAGUCGCGUGAAGGAAGACGGAUCUAUGGUUUGUAAACUUCUUUAGUGCGGGAACAAAGCGGCGUCGUGACGCCGGAUGAGUGUACCGCAAGAAUAAGCAUCGGCUAACUCCGUGCCAGCAGCCGCGGUAAUACGGAGGAUGCGAGCGUUAUCCGGAUUUAUUGGGUUUAAAGGGAGCGCAGGCUGCGAGGCAAGUCAGCGGUCAAAUGUCGGGGCUCAACCCCGGCCUGCCGUUGAAACUGUCCUGCUAGAGUUCGAGUGAGGUAUGCGGAAUGCGUUGUGUAGCGGUGAAAUGCAUAGAUAUGACGCAGAACUCCGAUUGCGAAGGCAGCAUACCAACUCGCGACUGACGCUGAGGCUCGAAAGCGUGGGUAUCGAACAGGAUUAGAUACCCUGGUAGUCCACGCAGUAAACGAUGAAUACUAACUGUUCGGAGGGC
rnacentral:rRNA from 1 species